rnacentral:lncRNA from 1 species
GAGGAUCAUUGUAUUGUUGAAGACUCGUCUAGUGAGAAUCAUUGUAUUGUUGAAGACUCGUCUAGGAAGGAUCAUUGUAUUGUAUUGUUAAAGACUAGUCUAGGGAGAAUCAUUGUAUUGUUGUAGACUAGUUUAGGGAGGAUCAUUGUAUUGUUGUAGACGCGUCUAGAGAGGAUCAUUGUAUUGUUGUAGACGCGUCUAGAGAGGAUCAUUGUAUUGUUGUAGACUAGUCUACGGAGGAUCAUUGUAUUGUUGUAGACUAGUCUACGGAGGAUCAUUGUAUUGUUGUAGACUAGUCUAGAGAGGAUCAUUGUGGUGUAGACUAGUCUAGGGAGGAUCAUUGUGUUGUAGACUAGUCUAGGGAGGAUCAUUGUAUUGUUGUAGACUAGUCUAGGGAGGAUCAUUGUGGUGUAGACUAGUCUAGAGAGGAUCAUUGUGUUGUAGACUAGCCUAGGGAGGAUCAUUGUAUUGUUGUAGACUAGUCUAGGGAGGAUCAUUGUAUUGUUGUAGACUAGUCUUGGGAGGAUCAUUGUAUUGUAGUAGAAUAGUCUAGGGAGAAUCAUUGUAUUGUAGUAGACUAGUAUCGGGAGGAUCAUUGUAUUGUUGUAACCUAGUCUAGGGAGGAUCAUUGUAUUGUAGUAGAAUAGUCUAGGGAGAAUCAUUGUAUUGUAGUAGACUAGUAUCGGGAGGAUCAUUGUAUUGUUGUAACCUAGUCUAGGGAGGUUCAUUGUAUUGUUGUAGACUAGUCUAGGGAGGAUCAUUGUAUUGUUAUAGACUAGUCUAGGGAUGAUCAUUGUCUUGUUGUAAACUAGUCUAGAGAGGAUCAUUAUAUUGUUGUAGACUAGUCUAGAGAGGAUCAUUGUAUGGGGUGGAGCACGCAGGGGAGGAGCACGCAGGGGAGGACAUGGAAUAUAUGACCAUGUAGUAAAACCUGCAGAAGAGUCAAUGACCAAUAACAACACACUACCCUCUCCCGUGACCAAUAACAACACACUACCCUCUCCCGUGACCAAUAACAACACACUACCCUCUCCCGUGACCAAUAACAACACACUACCCUCUCCCGUGACCAAUAACAACACACUACCCUCUCCCGUGACCAAUAACAACACACUACCCUCUCCCGUGACCAAUAACAACACACUAUCCUCCCCAAAGCAAAGAAAAAGUAAUACAAACCAAUUGGGACGCAGCCUCCAUGAUUUGUCAUAACCAGCACUUGCCUCACAGAGCCUGGAACACUUUCCAGUGAUUCAGUUUAGCUGAUGGUAGACCUAGGAACCGUACCGCAAGACUACAGGCUUUCUCCCUUAGUCUCACCUUCUCUCACCCCCUCAGCAGGCUCUCUCCCUUCGUCCCCCCUCCUUACCUCUCUCUCCCUUAGUCCCACCUUUCUUACCUACUCUCAGCAGGCUCUCUCCCUUAGUCCCACCUUUCUUACCUAUUCUCACCCCCUCAGCAGGCUUUCUCUCCCUUCUUACCUUCUCUCUCCCUUAGUUCCCCCUUCUUACCUUCCCUUAGUCCCACCUUUGUUGUUGAUUAUUGGGUAGUAAAUCUGUUGCUGUGAAGUUUGCUCUUUAAACUGUUGGCAAAAUGUGAAUUAAAUAUAAAUUAACUAAUCCAUGAAUUAUAUCCUAAUUAAGCUGCUGUUUGGACAACACACUCAACCAUCUCUCCCUCUCUUCCGCAGAAGAAGUUAACAGCGGAGUGCGUGUUCAGAGAGCAGUUUGAAGAGAAUUGGUACAACACAUAUGCCUCUACGCUCUACAAACACACCGACACCGGACGCUUCUACUACGUAGCGCUCAACAAGGACGGCUCGCCGCGGGAGGGGGGGAGGACUAAGAAACACCAGAAACUAACGCACUUCCUGCCUCGGCCUGUGGAGAUAGAGAAGAUCCCCCAGGCUUACAGAGAUCUGUUCCAAUACAGGUGACCAGGGAUGAGCCUGGGAGAGAGGGAUGAGGAGGAGGAAAGGGAAGAGAGAGGUGGAUGUUUGGCACUAAGGACAGGACUCAGUACUCCCACUGACCUCGCUCCCCCGUCUCCAGCCCCGACCCCCUACAAAGGUGUUUAUGUAUUGCCCCUCCAGCCCCCCAAAAAACCCUCCCGUUCUUCCGAGGACCACCGACCAGAGAGAUAAACAUAGCUUGUGUUGCUGGACAUUAACUCUCUGAAAGGGCUGUUUGACCUCAGAGGGGUCAGAGCAGAGCAGUGGAGACGCUCUUCUCUCCAGCCACUGAGGGGGGGAGGGGGGUCCUACUAG